rnacentral:rRNA from 1 species
CGCUUGAAUGUUAUAGCAUGGAACGAAUACUCUGACUCUAGUUUGAUUGGUUUUUUGAACUGGGUCAUGAUUAAAAGGGACAUUUGAGGGCGUUAGUACUUGGUGGCGAGAGGUGAAAUUCUUAGACCCACCAAAGACUCACAAAUGCGAAAGCAUUCGCCAAAAAUGUUUUCAUUAAUCAAGAACGAAAGUUAGAGGUUCGAAGACGAUCAGAUACCGUCCUAGUUCUAUACAGUAAACUAUGCUACCACGAGACUAGUCCGGAAGGCAGUCCAGGUUAGUCUCCCAAGGAAACUGAAAGCUUUCGAGUUCCUGGGGGAGUACGGUCGCAAGACUGAAACUUGAAGGAAUUGACGGAAGGGCACCACCAGGAGUGGAGCCUGCGGCUUAAUUUGACUCAACACGGGACAACUCACCAGGUCCAGACAUUGAAAGGAUCGACAGACUGAUAGAUCUUUCGAGAUCCGAUGAUUGGUGGUGCAUGGCCGUUCUUAGUUGGUGGAGUGAUCUGUCAGGUUUAUUCCGGUAACGAGCGAGACUACGAUCUCUAUUUGAUUGCGGCCCUUUUUAAUAGAGGGCUGGUCAUAGAGAGACCACCGGAGACAAGCCGGGGGAAGCGUAGCAAUAACAGGUCUGUGAUGCCCUUCGAUGUUCUGGGCCGCACGCGCGCUACAAUGGCAGUGACAACAAGUGUCUGCGUUGAGAGACGUGGAAAAUCUUGACAAUCGCUGUCGUGAUUGGGAUUGAGCCUUGUAAUAAUUGCUCAUUAAAGAGGAAUUCCUCGUAAGCGCGAGUCAUCAACUCGUGUUGAAUACGUCUCUGCCCUUUGUACACACCGCCCGUCGCUACUACAGAUUGAAUGUUUGUUCGAGAAGUCGGGAUUGGGGGUCGCGAGACUCCUGAGAGCUACCUCGAGGACAAACGUUUAGAUGAAGUAAAAGUCGUAACAAGGUUUCCGUAG